AUGGCAAGGCACACGUGGUGGAGAAAGCCCCUUCACAUCAUGACCAAGAAAGAAAGAAAAAAGAAAGGAGCAAGGUCCCACUAUCCUCUUCAAAGGCAAGUCCCCAAUGACCUCCUAAGGCUUCCACAACCUCCCAAAAGCCCUAAACUGAGGACUGUGCCAUUAAGCCUUGGACCUUCAGAGAACAUUCCAGAUCCAAGCUAUCACGACCUUCAAAUAGAAAUGGUGAUCACAGUGUGUGACCUGGGCAUGGUACCUGGAAUCCCAGCACUGAGGAGGCUGAGGCAAGAGAAUUGCCGUGAGUUUCAGGCCAUCCUGGGUUACACAGUAAGUCCAACGUCAAGCUGAACUAUAUGGCAAGACUCUCUCUCAAAAAAAAAACCCAAAUUUUUAGUGUGUGACAUUGCUUGGACAUUGAGCAUCUCUAAGUACAGUGACAUAUAUAUAACAUACACAUGUGUUCUAAAAAACUAUCAUUUGACUGGAGAUCCCAUGCUGGCUUGACAUGUACCUCUUAUUACAAGUAACUGGACAUAAGAGAAAGGCAGAUAUCUGAGUCUAAAAGGUAAGGUUAUCACCAUAAACAAUCUUGAUUUUACAUCUUAGAAGACCCAUGCAACUGAAGGCAUGAAUACAUUUAGUAUAUACCAUGAAAUUCGCAAUGAUGAGAGUCACAGCUACAUGAAAGCCUUUGCUUGCCUAGCAUAUGAGUGAGAUCCCGAGGGAAGGAACCAAACACCAUGAAAAAAGGAAAACAAAACAAAAAUAACAUCUCUGUAGUUGUUCCAUGCAGACCAUGCACAAAGGCUUACUCUUCAGUGAGUUCAACUUUACACUGACUCCUCAAAUAACAGCAACUAGGCAGUAUUGGUAACAUCUUUCAAUUCACUGAUAAACAAGGAAAAUCAUUCAAAAUCACUUGUCUUUUUUUUUUUUUUUUUUUUUAAGUACUGGGAGUUGAACCCCGCUCUUCCAUGAUGAGCUACAUUCCUCAGCUUAUUAUUUUUUUCUCUCUUUUUUUUUUUUUUUUUAUUACUCUAAGAGUCUAAGUUGCUAAGUUUCCUAGGCUGGACUUGAACUGUGGUGAUCCUCCUGCCUCAAUCUUCCAAAAUACUAUAAUUAACGAGGAUUGCAUGUUUAAAUUCACCCUGGGAAACUUAGUGAGACCUCAUCUCAAAAAAUAGCUGAGAAUGCAGCUCAGUGGUAGAGGGCUUGCUGUCAUGCAUAAGAGCCUAGGUUCAAUCCCUAGUACCGUACACGUACAAAAAUAUAUAUAUACUUAUGGAUAUAUGAUACUGAUAUUAAUGAUACCAGUAUACUGAUACUGGUAUUAGCAGUACUAUCUAAUGAAAGCCAUUUUCAAGAUGAAAUAUGUAAAAUCUCAUUACAGAUCAGCAUUAAUACAAUUCCACAUAUAACAGGAAAUACUUUUUUUUUGGCAGUACUGGAGAUUGAACUUUGGGCCUUUCUACUGAACUCCAUCCCUGGACCUUUUUAUUUUUUAAUUUGAGAUGGGGCCUUGCUAUGUCACUAAGUUGCCUGGGCUGAGCUCAAACUUGUCAUCCUCCUGCUUCAGCUUCCCAGGGUGGUGGGAUUGUAGGCAUGUGCCAUCUACACCUGGUAGGAACAUUAAUUUUAAAUCCUACUUAAACAGAAUGUUGUCCCAAACAAAAGAAUUCCAUUCUUCUCUUUGGUGGAUUACAAAACAACUAUACUCAGUGAUAGAGUGCUUGUUUACUUAGCCUGAGGCCCUGAGCACGAGCCCCAUCACUGCAAAAAAUAAAAAAACAAUAUGGUAUACUCAAUCACUAUUAUAUUUUGAAUUUAAUCAAUACAAAUUUGUAGAGAAGUUUCUCAUUACACAAGUACCUACAUAACAUCUUUGAUUUAGCCAGGUGUGGUUGCUGGUGCAUUCCUGUAAUUCCAGCUGCUUGGGAGGCUGAGUGAGGCAAGAGAUCACGAGUCCAAGGUAAGCCUGGCCAGCACAGCAAGAUCUCAUCUCAAGAAAGAAAAAAAAAAUCACUGAAUAAUACCCUUUAUUCUCCUCUUGGUACACAGACCUCACAUAUAUACUAGCUGAUAGUAAACGUUUUUUGGACCCUGUUUCAAAGAGUUGCGUAGAACUGGCUUAUUUAAAUGUGAGAAGCAAUCGGUGACCCCUAGUGGAAGGAUUAUCCUGCUUAGAAAUAGUGACGUGUCAGUGUUCUAAAAUCCAGGCAUGCAGGAGACCAGAUAAUGAACUCACAUGUUGCAAGUUCCAGGAAAAGUCAAUAGCUGAGAUCCGGUUGUUUACCUGGGCAUAUACUAAUAGAUAAUAGGAGACAAAUUAAUCUUAUGUUACUCCAACUGUUUGCUCAUGUGUCUCAGUGAAUAAAAGCUAGGUGAGCCAAAUGCUUAGGGCUCUCUGUCCACUAGAGGCAGGAGCCCCUGAACCCCACAUUCUAAACUAAAGCUGGCCAGCAAAGAAAAAAGAAAAGUGUAUGUGUAUGUGGAAAAUUUUCUCAACCAAGGUAAUGGGCAAAAGAAAAUAAAAAUGAGUGAGCGCAGAAAACUUUUCUCAGCCAAGGUAAUGGGGCAGAAUUUGUCAGUUGAAGUACAGCGUUAUACCCCUUUAUUGCAAAUUCAAUCUGGCACUCAAGUUAAUACCCAGUUGCUUUGUCAUGUGAUACAAGAUUUUGUUUUGUUUUGUUUUGGUACUGGGAAUGGAACUCAUAACCUCACGCUUGCCAGGCAGGCACUAUGCUGCUGAGCUAUAUCCCCAGCCUGUGAUGCAAGAUAUUCUCAAACAUAAUCUUUGGUUUCCUCAAGUGGGCACAUUUGAUAUAGAGAUUUGGGAGCGAGCGAGGGAGGGUUUGGAGCUUAUACCCAGAGCUCUGUUAUAUCCCCUAAAACUUUCUCCACAUGGAGCUGGGUCUGUGUAGUUCUUUGUCCUUUACCUGCAGGAAAACAUUCCAUACCUAGUGCACCCUUAAGAAAAACUUAAAAUGAGGGUGAAGAGCCCUGGUCCCCUUCUCUUCCUCCUUUUCCUCCUUCCCUUCCAUCUCUGGUUGAUAGAGAAGUAGUAUCCCCUUAUCAAAGAUUGGUUAGACAGGCUGUGCUUAACGGAGAGCCCUUUGGGACAUGUGCAUUUCCAAUUAAUAUUCAUCCCAACCCUAACAAUACACAACAAAAUAUUCAUGAGCAUAAUUUUCUAGAGUGUAAGUUGCUUUAAGAAUUAAAACCCAGUGUCAUAAACAUGCGGUUCAAAGACCUUUCACGUUGGGCUUGUUGGAGUCUAUCCUAGGUUCUUUGCACUUACCUCCUUUAGACGUUAAGCACUUGGCUAGGUCCUGCCUUUCUGCAGAGCAAUAUUUAAAUUUCCAUGUUAAUUUUUAAGAGUUAGCAGCUGAACAAGCAUGUCAGAAUCAAGAGGCAUGACAUCCUGAGGUUACUGAGGAUAUGCUAUUAAGAACAGCUCCGUACUCAGAUCUGAUCCCACAGUUAACCCUUCCGGACCAGCCUUAUCAGCAAAUAGCUUUCAUGACAAAACAAGCCUGGGUAAGUAUUUCUGAGGAAAGUAUUCCCACUCAGCCCUUUUUACACAUUCUUCAGGGCUCACAGGAGACUUAUGUCCAGUUCAUAUCUCAGUGAAGUUACAAGAAGCAGUCUGACAAUAGAUACUGCAUGCCCAAGCAGCAGAGAUUAUUGUGUUGCAGCUGGCUUUUGAGAAUGCUAAUUGGAGCUGGGCGUGGUGGCACACGCAUGUAAUCCUAGCA
rnacentral:lncRNA from 1 species